UGACAAAGGAAAGAGAGAGUGCCACA
rnacentral:piRNA from 1 species